GACGAACGCUGGCGGCGUGCUUAACACAUGCAAGUCGAACGGAAAGGCCCUGCUUGCAGGGUACUCGAGUGGCGAACGGGUGAGUAACACGUGGGUGAUCUGCCCUGCACUUCGGGAUAAGCCUGGGAAACUGGGUCUAAUACCGGAUAGGAGCCAUUUUUAGUGUGAUGGUUGGAAAGUUUUUUCGGUGUAGGAUGAGCUCGCGGCCUAUCAGCUUGUUGGUGGGGUAAUGGCCUACCAAGGCGGCGACGGGUAGCCGGCCUGAGAGGGUGGACGGCCACAUUGGGACUGAGAUACGGCCCAGACUCCUACGGGAGGCAGCAGUGGGGAAUAUUGCACAAUGGGCGCAAGCCUGAUGCAGCGACGCCGCGUGGGGGAUGACGGCCUUCGGGUUGUAAACUCCUUUCGCUAGGGACGAAGCUUUUUGUGACGGUACCUAGAUAAGAAGCACCGGCUAACCACGUG
rnacentral:rRNA from 1 species